GUCAGCGCGGCCGUCGGAGACAUGGGAGACCCGGGGUCGGAGAUAAUAGAAUCUGUCCCUCCAGCUGGCCCUGAGGCAUCUGAGUCAACAACGGAUGAAAAUGAAGACGACAUUCAGUUUGUCAGUGAAGGACCAUUACGACCUGUUCUUGAAUACAUUGAUCUGGUCAGCAGUGAUGAUGAAGAGCCUAGCACCUCUUAUACUGAUAGAAUGCCUGAAUCUAA
rnacentral:misc_RNA from 1 species